UACGUAGGGUGCAAGCGUUGUCCGGAAUUAUUGGGCGUAAAGAGCUUGUAGGCGGUUUGUCGCGUCUGCUGUGAAAAUCCGGGGCUCAACCCCGGACUUGCAGUGGGUACGGGCAGACUAGAGUGUGGUAGGGGAGACUGGAAUUCCUGGUGUAGCGGUGAAAUGCGCAGAUAUCAGGAGGAACACCGAUGGCGAAGGCAGGUCUCUGGGCCACUACUGACGUGAGAAGCGAAAGCAUGGGGAGCGAACAGG
rnacentral:rRNA from 1 species